GUCUGGCUGUUUUCGGGUGGAUGACGUUGCAAUUUUAGCAAUCCUUUGGGGAAAAAAAAUUGCACGGUAUCCAUCUGUAAUCCGCCGGAC
rnacentral:pre_miRNA from 1 species